rnacentral:tRNA from 1 species
GGUAAAAUGGCCGAGGGAAAAAGCGGCGGGUUGUAGCCCCGAAUACAGAGGUUUAAGUCCUCUUUUUAUCA